rnacentral:tRNA from 1 species
GCGUUGAUGGUGUAAUGGUUAGCAUUGCUGCCUUCCAAGCAGUAGAUCUGGGUUCGAUUCCCGGUCAACGCA